rnacentral:piRNA from 1 species
GUGAGCACUGCCUGUAGGA